rnacentral:lncRNA from 1 species
CGCUGCUUUGCUUAUUUAUUUUCGAUUUGUUUGCUUCUUCCUUGAUUUCUGGCAUUCCAGCAGAAAGUCCUGGAACGACGAGUUUGUAUCUUUUUGUCUACGGGAAAAAGACGCUUGUUUUCCUUUGCCUUGGGAAAACAGAUCCGGUCGCAACAGACGAGCACGAUUCCAUCCAGAUCCCGAUUUAAGGGCACGGUGCCUGGCGUCCGGGCCUCUCGCUGAAUGCUGGUGGGGAGCAAAACAAUCCUGACACCAAUCAGUUCAGAUCUGUUGAGGACGAGGGUGGAAAACUGCAAGAGAACAUUUCCUGGAACAAACUGCUCAGACCAGUGAGGGGAGGCGCCGCACAGCCAGCUCAAUUGCUGUCCCAGAGGGCCCAGCUCUGCUCACACCAUGAAGAGCUCAGGAAGUGUGGUAAGCAGGUUCACUCAACCCAGUAAGUGCA